UACAGAGGCCUCGAGCGUUAGGCGGAAUCACUGGGCUUAAAGCGUGUGUAGGCGGACUGGUAAGUACCUUGUGAAAUCCCACAGCUUAACUGUGGAACUGCUCGGUAUACUGCUGGUCUUGAGCCACUCAGGGGCGAGCGGAACAAAUGGUGGAGCGGUGAAAUGCGUAGAUAUCAUUUGGAACGCCAAUGGUGAAAACAGCUCGCUGGGGGUGUACUGACACUGAGGCACGAAAGCCAGGGGAGCGAACGGG
rnacentral:rRNA from 1 species